rnacentral:lncRNA from 1 species
CAUAAAAUGAGUUAGGGAGGAUAUCCUGUCAUUGUUGACAGGAAAUUUUAAUACAUGUUUUAACAAUUCAGAAAAUGGUGAUGAUUUAAGUAAAACUUAAUUGAUUAAUUUAAGGCAAAUUUCAAUUAACUUUUCUUUUCUAUAUACCAUACCGUGUUUUUUUUAAGACAUAGAACAUAUUUGUUUUCUAUGUGUUCAAAUUAACAGAUAGCUUGGUGUUAACAAGUAAACUCAAAACUUUGUGGCUGAUAUUCAGUUUCAUGCAAAAAUAUGUAAUACUUUUUAUAUUUUAUGAGAAAUAUUAUUCAAACAAUUUGAUACAGACAUAAUACUUGUUGAUUUUUCCAACAAAAUUGUAGCAUUGCAAAUGACUCCAGGUAGAUGAAAUACAUAAGCUAUAAAACUGAAUAAGAGAUGUGAAAAAUAAGUAUUUUUUUCUAAAGAAAGCAACAAUAUAUGUAAGAACAUUCAACCUUAAUUUUAAAUUCUUUAGAGGAAAAAACAGAUAGCAUUAGAUCAUAUUUAUCAAUAACAUAUACAGUUUAAUAUUACCUAGUAUUCUGUGCUAUUAAACCACUUUCAGUAAGCAGUUAUUCAUGACUCAAUUGAAAUGCAUUCACUUUUAAAUAGAUUCUCAUAUGAAACUCAUAUGAAAGUAUUAUAAUUUGAAGUGCUUACUCAGCAUACUUAGCCAGUUCUCACUACAUGAUUAAAAUUUUAAUAAUUUAUGCUUGAUUUAUUUUUUGGCUUAUCUUUUUUUUUUCACCCUACAAUUCAGGUUUUUUCAAACUUUAUUGUGCAUAAAACUUUCUAGGGAGCUUGUUAAAAAUAAAGUUUUCUAGUCCCUUUCCACAGAUUUUCUGAUUUAGUAGGUUUGGGUCAGAACCAAAGAAUCUCCAUUUUUAACAAGCCUAUCAGGUAAUUAUUAUAGAUAUGAUUCCUGGACCACAAUUUUAGUAAUACGCUUUAUCGUAACUAUUCAUACUCAUUCUUUUAAACAUUUAGCUUAAUUUCAAACCUGUUCUUUCUUUACAUCUUUGUCUGUCUGUUUCCUCUUUGUUUCUAUCUCUGCCAGUUUCUUUUUUUCUCUUCAAUAAAUUAAACUUGGAAGAAUUGUAGCAAAACAUAAAAUAAUAUGUUGAAGUGAUUGUAUAAGGAUUUUUUUGCAAAUUUCUACCUCAAUGUCUUAAAGCCAUAAUGAGAACUCAAGAAAUGUUAUUUUAAUCAUUGUAAUUAUGUUUUCAGCUCCCUUGGUUGCAUUGUUUUAAUUAAAACCUAAUAUUUAUUACUCACAACCCUUUCAUUUUGUUGUUCUGAAUUAGGACUUUAAAAAAAGGACACUUUUAUAAUUUUAUCUCCUAUUUGUAAAAUAGUACCUACUAUAACAUAAAAUUACUGUAUUUUAUCAAACUGAUGGUACCAUUAUUUUAGUGUAUUUAGUGUAUUACUAGUAUGGAAACAAAUACUGCAAUUAAAUUAUACUUCAGUAUGUUUUACUUAUUGCAUUUGAAUUUUAGAUACAUGAACAUUAAAAACAUGCGUCUUAGAAUUAUGGAAACAUGCUAAUUUAGUAAAUAAUAUCGUAAUUGUUUCUUAAGAAUUCUUUAUUAUUUAACUUGCAAACAUGGGCAUUAAGCAUUUCAGCAUCAAUUUUGUGGUGGUUGAGAUCAUGUGUUAUUCUUUUGGAAUUAUUCUCCUAAAGCUUCAAAGUUAUACUCAUAUUCAUUGCAUGUCCUAUUGACUUAUUCUAUAAUUAAUCUCCAAUCUCCAGUCAAUUAUAGCUUAUUCAAGCAACUUUUCUGUAGUAAUCAAGAUCAUUUUAUUUCUGAUACUUCAGACUACAGAUAAUAGAGAAGUUGAAAGAGACUGGGUUAUGCAUCCGUUUAGUUCCUUAUUUUGGCUGUUAACUAGGUGUUUAACUUAAUAUCUGUGAAGCUUGGUUGUUUUUAACAGUAAUACAUACAAAAGCCUUUGCAUAAUAUAGUUUGAAUCACUUUUAAAUAUCUUCUCAAUACCAAUUAUUUUUGACUAAUAUAUAUGCACUUAAGAUACAUCAUUUUAAAAUGGUAGCCUUCAACACAAAUUGAAUUGGAAUCACCAGCUAGGCAUUUUCCAACUAUACAUACUCAUUUCAAUUUCUCUCCCAAAUAUACUGAUGGGAAUAGAUCAAAACAGAGGGAUGGAGAUGUUUGCUUUCAGACACUUCUUUAGCUCCCUGAUGAUGUGCAGCCCUGAGGCUAGGAAAGCAUUUCCAUUCAUGCAUUCCUUUUUCCUUACACUGAAUGCAUCUUUAUAAGUUGCAUGCUUAUAUUUGUUUGGGUUCUUCACUAUGCCAGCCAGAGGGAACAGAGCAAAGAUAAGUAAAGAGAUGGACUUUAACGCCAUGGGACCUUCACAUUAACUGUGUGUGCUCUGGGCAUGCUGGCAGGAAGUUGGACUCUGAAGUUAGUGCUGUGCUGGAGCUAGCCUAUAGCAGCUCAUGAGAACAAGUUGUUAAGUGUUCAGGAAUUGUUAACCUUUUAGGAAUUUUGCAGAUCUAUUGAUGUCAUGUUACUUGAAAUCAACGAUGGUGGAAAUAUUUACAUAAUAGAAAUCAACAAAGGCAAAUAUAAAAAUUUUGUUUUGUCCCACAAGAGUUGGUCUUAAAUAUUUGUUAUCAUGCCCCUCUUUCUAACAUAAGAUAAGGACACUCCAUGUAUUCAGAAGUUGGAAGAGGUAUCCAUGAAAAUCUCCUGAAUGAAGUGUUGUAUAAACUGAAUAGACAGGAAGACAAGAUAGAUCUUCAUGGAGAGAGAAGGGUUAAAUAGCAUAAACACAAAAACACAUAGAAAGGAUAUGAGACAUUGAAUACAAUGAAAUAAGUUCAAAUAUGGCUUAAAUUUUAAAAACAGUAGAAUGACAGAAAUUUAAGAUGUGGAAAUGAGGUGAACAAUUUUGUAAAAACUUUCCAAUCAUAUAAAUAUCUUGCCUUUUAUUUCAAAGGCAAUGGAAUAUAAUGCAGGUUAAUUUAAUGAUAUCUGCAUUUAAAAAAUAAAUUUAACUUUUUUUUGCAGAAUGAAUUGAAGAAAAAUAAACGUUUUAAGUAACUGGAUGCAUUUUUAUUUCCUUAGUUAGGGAGAGAGAUGAUUUUUGGCUCAUAUCAUAGUGGCAAUAGAGAUGAAGAGAAUUUGAUAUAACGCAGAGCUCUUUAGUGAAACUGACAGGAUUUUUUAAUAGGGAUAUGUGAAGCAACAACAGUAAAUGGGGAAAUUAUUACUUAUAGAUUUCAUACUUAAUCAAAUCACUCAUUUAGUGAGUGUUAUUGAGACAUGAGGCACACAGAGGCAAAAGUGGGAACUAAGAAAGAUUUAGAAAUACACAUUUCAUAUGUUUAAAGUCCCUGUACAAGUAACAUUCUCACAGAGACAUUGAGAAGGUAGGUAGAUGAGAAUCUGUAGGCCAGAAGGAAUUUAAAGUGUGACGAUAUCCAUUUGGGAGUGAUGAAAAGAGAAUGCAGCCAUACAGUAGAAUAACAUAAAAGAUACUUUCGAAAGCUUGUCUCACAUAUCUGUUUUUAUGUAGCAAGCCACCUUAAAACUCAAUAGUUUAAAAAAUUAACAACAGUUUUGUUUACUUCCCUUCCAUUUGGGUCAACAAUUUAGACUGGGUUUAUGGGGUGCUUCUUUGGUUGCUUUCAACUUAGGGCACUCAACUCAUCGUCUUGGGCUAAGGGCUAUAAAAUAGCCUUUCUCACAUGAUUGGCCCUUGGUGCUAGCUGUUUUCCAGUCCACACACUUCCAUCAGGCUGGUUUGGGAUUCUUCACAUGGAGUCUUCAUUCCAAAAACAGCAAAAAGCAGAGUAAUCCUCUAUGGCCACACCUUUCAAGCUUUUGCUGACAUCAUAUCUGCCAAUAUCUCAAUCACCGAGGAGAGCAAGAAACCCCACCUUAGUCAACUUGAGAAGAAAGAACACAUGGGUGUGACUACAAGGACACAGGACACAGUGGGGGCUACUUCUGUAACAAUCUACAAGAAACUUCAAUGGUCAAGUAGAAGACAAACUAGUAAAGAAGAUGGAAAGGGGACAGCUAGAAUAUUGAUAAGAGGAAAAAUAGCAAAAAGAAGCAAUGCAAA